rnacentral:miRNA from 1 species
UACCCGUAACGCUUCUACCGAG